rnacentral:sRNA from 2 species
AUGAUAGUUGUGCCGAAUCCCUGACAUUCAGGGUACGGGGGAUCCCGCCCAGCGGGCGGGUAGGUGAAUCUGGCCAAACCAGUAGGGGGCUCCUUCUCCCCCGAACCACGGGAAACCGUUAACUAACCUCGGAGGCAGAUCGCAGAAGGAAG